UGGUGGAGUGAUUUGUCUGCUUAAUUGCGAUAACGAACGAGACCUUAACCUACUAAAUAGCCCAGCCCGCUUUUGCGGGUCGCCGGCUUCUUAGAGGGACUAUCGGCUCAAACCGAUGGAAGUUUGAGGCAAUAACA
rnacentral:rRNA from 1 species